rnacentral:rRNA from 1 species
AUGCCUCGUGCCUCGACACGUGGGAGAUAUAGCUGCAUCAUGGGCGUUACAGCUAGUGACUAUGAUGAGGAGACUUUGGUUCUUAUUACAAGUGAAGAACAUAGUGGAGAUGAUUCUGAUCAUGAGACGCAAUACAUGGCUACUGAAGAUGCUGACAGGUAUGAAUGUUUAGUUGCUCAACGUGUUUUGAGUGUGCAGGUUACACAAGCUGAGCAAAAUCAGAGGCAUAAUUUGUUCCAUACAAAGGGAGUUGUGAAGGAACGUUCUGUUCGCGUCAUCGUAGAUGGAGGGAGCUGCAACAACUUGGCUACCAUGGAGAUGGUGGAGAAGCUAUAUCUCACCACAAGACCACAUCCACAUCCUUACUACAUCCAAUGGUUCAACAACAGCGGCAAGGUUAAGGUGUUCACUGACGUCUUUCCACAAGAUGUGCCACCGGUAUUACCACAUAUUCAAGGGAUUAAGCAUCAGAUUGACUUAAUUCCCGGUGCUACACUGCCUAACCGUCCGCCAUACCGUACCAAUCCAGAGGAGACGAAAGAUAUUAUGCGUCAAGUACAGGAGCUGCUCGACAAAGGGAAUUGA